UUUUACGUCGGAAAUAAGACAAAACUUAUGGAACGUAAAAUUACGAUAUAUUAAUGAUAAAAUAGAGGGGUGAAGAAUAACUAUUCCUUAUCAGGGUGACGAAUAGUCAAUCCAUAGUCACAUUAUUCUGAUCAUGGGAUCAGAAUAGUAUUCUGAUCACGGCGUGCUAUAUAGGGACGAUGAGAUCCUCCGAAAAACUCCCGGUAGGGAAUAAAAGAAAAACUCCCACCAUCUCUCACCAACCUCCCGACUCCCUCCAAUGCAUCGCCGCCGGCCCCAACCUCCUGAUUCCAGCGCGUUGCCGGACCCCUCCACCUGCUUCCGCCGCGUCGCCCCGAACCGGCGCCGCCGGACCCCUCUUCCCUUCUGUCGGCGUGCCUCUUCCCCCGCCGCCGGAGCGCCACUUCCCCCAUCCGCCGGCGCUCCUCCUCCCGCUCCACCCUAAACCAUGCGCCUCCAUCCUCCCACCCCGACGCGAGCGACCCACUGGGCGCCGCACCUGCAUCGCCGCCCCCCUCCCCAGCCACACCGGCGCGCCAUCCUCCCCGCUCCACUGCCGCCACCCCGCCCCGGCCGCAACCCACGACGCCCCGUCUCUCCUCCCCUGGAUCGCCGUUGCGUGCCGCCGAUGCAGGACACCUCCCGAUGCGCUGCCGCCAUGUCGCGGAUGACCCCGAGCGACCUUCUUUUCCACCUCCCCAAGCGCCGCCACUCUGGACCCAUCGCACUCAGGCCCUCACCCCUGCCGCCGCGACCUUCUCCCCUUGCCACCGCGACCUUCUUCCCCCUGCCUCCGCGACCUUCUUCCCCCUUCCCCGCACUGCCCUUCGGAUGAGAGGCAGCGCUCCAACCAGCCAUGCUCAUGGGUCACCGCCCACCACCAGCGCACCUCAUUCCGCCGGCACGAACUUCCUCUCGCCCCUAACUCAAUCCUUCUUUUGCCGGCCAGAUCCGAGCGCCUUCUCUGCCCACGCCUCUCCGGCGAGAGCCUCCUUCUCUACAUACUCCGAGUGACUCCGGACAGAUCCAUGGAGCUCGAGAAGUUCAUUGGCUGCGGAGGUGGUUGCUGCCGACUCCAGGUGAGCACCUGCUCCUGGCUCCUCCUGGCUUCUGCUCAUGCCCAACCCACCUCUUCCCCUUUGUCUGCACGUGGAGGCGGCCGUUUCCGGAUGUGCUUAUACAUAUUGAACUGCAAGGUUGCAUGACUCGGUUUGAGGUAGUGGCUUUGCCGCUGCAGGGCUUCGCCUCACUCGGACGACUCACUACCUCUAGCGGCCGCCGCCGUCCAUCGCGCCGGCUCAUGUCACCUUCCUGGUCGCCCCACGCGCUGACCAGCGCUGCUCCGAUCCAGCUCCUCCAUCCUCCAGCCACGACAACCAAGUCCAAAAACAAAAGAAGUUCUGAUUCUCGCAAGCUACAAGUUCAGAGCUUUCACUUCUCUGAACAAAAUUCAGAUUUUUGCACCUACAUAUAUGCCAAGGAGUUUCAAAGAGCGUUAACUACUCAGAACCUGAGUAUUUUGUGGUGGUUUGAUCUGAAUGAUCAAUAUGUUUGCUUCUUGAUACUACACAAAAGAAGAAAAACGGCAAGUCUAUCAUCCAAUUGAGUGUGUGUUUCAGAAUUCAAGAUCGGUAAUUUCUACAUUGAGUGGUAGGUCCACGCACACAAUCUCUGCUUUCAACUUGAAGAAAAAGCAGUCAUCAUGUCCGGCACAAACACAGAAAUCUCAUGGCCCAGUGAUCUGCCGCGUCGCACGCCAACAAUGAGCGACAAGCUCAAAGAUUCGCUUGAUUUAGUCGGAGGAAAAUGCAUACUGCAUCCGUUUGUGGCUGCAGAAAAUACAGAAGUUCCUUUAGAGAUGUAGUAUUAUUCUUCAGAGUUCUGAUAACUGAAUUUUGGGCCGCUGAACCAUGCUAACCUCGACCUUGUAAAAGGAUGUUCAGAAGUUUGAAGUAGACUAAAAAAAAAGUAAAAAAAAAAGAGCUAUGUGCUGCUGUGUCCGUAGUAGGUGUGGUGUCUCGUAUGUGUGUGCGAGCGUUCACUGUGUGGGUCCUCGUGUGUUCCUGUGGGUCGUAUGCUCCCAUGUGUGCGUGCUCUUUUUUUUUGAGAAAAAUGUGUGCGUGCUCUAGUGUGUGUGUCAUGUGUGCUCUCAUGUAUACUCCGUGUAAUUAUUGUGUCCAUAUGUUCAUAAGGUUAUUUGAUUGUGUCGAGAAACUUCUAAA